rnacentral:rRNA from 1 species
UACGGAGGAUGCAAGCGUUAUCCGGAAUUAUUGGGAGUAAAGCGUCCGCAGGUGGCUGUGUAAGUCUGCUGUUAAAGAGUCUAGCUCAACUAGAUAAAAGCAGUGGAAACUACACGGCUAGAGUACGUUCGGGGCAGAGGGAAUUCCUGGUGUAGCGGUGAAAUGCGUAGAGAUCAGGAAGAACACCGGUGGCGAAGGCGCUCUGCUAGGCCGUAACUGACACUGAGGGACGAAAGCUAGGGGAGCGAAUGGG